rnacentral:rRNA from 1 species
AACGAACGCUGGCGGCAGGCCUAACACAUGCAAGUCGAGCGAGACCUUCGGGUCUAGCGGCGGACGGGUUAGUAACGCGUGGGAACGUGCCCUUCUCUGCGGAAUAGCCACUGGAAACGGUGAGUAAUACCGCAUACGCCCUUCGGGGGAAAGAGUUUAUCGGAGAAGGAUCGGCCCGCGUUAGAUUAGAUAGUUGGUGGGUAACGGCCUACCAAGUCUACGAUCUAUAGCUGGUUUUAGAGGAUGAUCAGCAACACUGGGACUGAGACACGGCCCAGACUCCUACGGGAGGCAGCAGUGGGGAAUCUUAGACAAUGGGCGCAAGCCUGAUCUAGCCAUGCCGCGUGUGUGAUGAAGGUCUUAGGAUCGUAAAGCACUCUCGCCAGGGAUGAUAAUGACAGUACCUGGUAAAGAAACCCCGGCUAACUCCGUG